rnacentral:tRNA from 1 species
GGCCCCAUCGUCUAGCGGCCUAGGACACUGCCCUCUCAAGGCAGGAACAGGGGUUCGAGUCCCCUUGGGGUCA